rnacentral:lncRNA from 1 species
GAGUUUGACUGGGCUACUAUCGGUAAUAAACUGCUCGGUUUACUACUGAUUUGUUUUUAAUGAUAGAGCUUCCAAAUCGACGAUCGGCACCGUUGAACAUAAUCUAGACCAUUUAAAUUAUCUAGAAAUCAAAUUUCACGAUUUUUUUGCAUCACUAACUGAACGAUCAAAGGGUCACAAAAUCUAUAAUUUUAAUGGCCGAUAUAGUGCGUUUGCUCGUUUAACGGUAUAGAUGAGUUCAAAUCAACUAAAUUUUUGUUAAAAAAUUCUUUAAACUAUUUAAAAUAAGAUCUAGACUAUAGAUCUCAAAUAUAAAAAUUGUAUCAUCACUUUUUGAAGAAUAUUCAUUUCCAUCCAUUUAUUUUUCUGUUCACUUGAUGGACAAAAGAACAAUAUCGAAAAUGUGUGAAAUUUCAUUUCCAAAUAGUUUAAAUAGUUUAGAUCAUGUUUAAUGGUGCCGAUCAUCAAUUUGGAAGCUCUAUCAUCGAAAAUAAAUCGGUAGUAAACCGAGCCGUUUACUACCGAUAGUAUU